AACAUGAACCGGAUAUAUCUAAUGACGUUGGACAGAUCCCCAUAGCCUAGUCAAUUAGGCCUCAGUCAAUCGGAUACCUCAGGUUAUCAACAACAAAAAAAGGUCACGGAACACCCUUGUUGAAUAUCUUCGGCACACUGGAAAAAGCCUUCCAAAAUUUCAUUGACAGGUACUAAGAUGAUGUCGAAAUGCAAAUAAAAAUCCACUAUAAAAAAUGAGAAAAGCUCAACGGAAACAGCAAAGCUAGUAGGCAGUUACUGGACUAUAUCAAAUGCUUUGGAUAUAUCAAAUUUGACUGCACAACAUGAUACUGUAUUGCUAUAGUAUACUUUUAACCUUUUAUUUACGGUGACAACUAUAUAGUUUAAUUAUUUUAAAGCGAAUAAAUAUUUAUUCCUUGUUGUAAAAUUACUAGAUUUAUUAAUGUUAACUUAUCAACUUAAAUUAAAAUUUUAAAUUAUAUUGAUGAAAUUGUAAAGAAGUUGUAAUUUAUAUAGUUAUAUAUACAUGAAAUUAAAUUAAGCUGGAAAAUUUAUAAUAUCAUCAAUGCAUAUAUUUUAUCAGUUGAAUUUCUGUUUUUAGAGAGAGAGAAAAGAAGAGGCUUGUUAGUUAACUUUCGAACUAAACUUGGAUCGUCCUGGGAAUCAGAUCCACAAUAAUAAAACCAGAAAAUUGUCGUUAAUGUUUCUGUAACAUCCGAUUUCUGAUAUAUUUAGAAAAGUUUAAGAGAACUGAUUUAUCUACAUAUGUCAUCAAAGUGCGCUUAUCUUUUUGGGCACACAUCCGUUUAAAACUCUUGAGUUAAGCCUGCUGGAGUUGGGGUAGUAGAAUGAUGGGUGAUCUAUCGGGAAGUGAUUCAUGAUAUCGUGCAAGUGAAGCCAAAGCACGGGGAGGGAUCAUGCGGUGAUUGCAUGGUCAGUAAACAAUACUUUUGGGCUUUAAAAAAUUAAUGCAAUGUUGGUUGCAUGGAAUGGGGCCUCUGGGAUGAGAGAGCGGGCGUGGAGGGUCUAUUAGUUGUGGGCGGUCAGGACGUAACAAGUGGUAUCAGAGCAAAGUUAGUCAUCUCGGUUCUGACCCGAGAGGCGUUUAGAAACCUUUUGUGGCGUGCAAUGGUUGCGUUCUGUGACUAGGGGUAAAUUAUAACAUCAUGAUUUUUAGUUUAUGUGGAAGGUUUAACAGAACUGAUUUGGCUGUCUAUGUCACCAUAUGUGUUUACCUUCUUGCGCACAUCCGUUUAGAACUCCAGAAUUAAGUAUGCUUGAGUUCGAGUAGUAGAAGGAUGAAUGACCUAUCGGAAAGUGAUUCAUGAUAUCGUGUGAGUGAGGCCAAAAUACGAAAAAAUGUCAUGUUGUAAUUGCAAAGUCAGUAAACAAUACUUUCGGAUUCUAAAAAAAUUAAUGCAUCGCCUGUCUGCACUAAAUAAAAUCCACGGGCCAAUAAAAUGUAGGAGGCUUAUUAUCUGUGGGCACUCGGAACGUAACAAUUCUAUUUUGGACUAUCAAUGCUAGGUUUUAUUUUUGGGAUAAAAUAUUUGAUCUUCAAUAUCUUUUAGAUUUUCCUUUUCCCCUUAGCAUUUGGACAUGAUCUCUAGAUAUAUAUUUUGUCUUCUCUAGCGCCAUAAGGCUAUAACAUACAAUGAACAAAUGUUAAGAAUAAUCUCCUUUUUCUUUUCCAAAAGAUAAAGAUCACGGUUUUCUUUCAAGAUUUUAAAACAAUUAUGUGUUUUUAUGCAAAAUAGAACAAUAAAUAUUAAGUGAAUGAAUUAAUCAUUAUUUUUUUAAAGUUAAAAAUAAAUAUAUUUUUUUGAAAGUUAACAAAAAAAAUUUUUUUUUUGAAACUUAUGUUUUUAAUUAUUUAUUUUGUUAAAUAUAUUAGAACAAUGAUAUUGCUUGGAAAACUUGAAAAAUGCCAGGAGGACAUGGCUGCAAAAUUAUGGCCACUCCCACCACAUCCAAAGGUUGAAAACGUUAGCAAAAACGUUACAUUGUGAAGAUAUAAAUUCUUAUAAAUCCUACUAUAUAAAAGGGACUAAAUUCUAGCUUCCUAAGCCUGCCACGUCACCUAAAAUAUUUAGAACCAAUCAAUGUUACACAUCAACAUGUAAAUUAGCUAAAUUCUCGCGACUCCUCAUGUCAUCUCUGUGGCGGCUCCGCGGUUGCCUCCCUCCGUUGCCGUGACCAAGCUUCCUUCGCGACUAUAAGCCACGUUAUUUCCUAGCUCCCAAAGUCGUCGAUCUCACUUCCAAUUGCAGAAGAUCUCAAGCCGCGGCAGCCAAAUUAGCCAAUCUCACUUCUAUUUCGUCUGAAGGGUUGAUGGUUGACCGUCUCCGACUCUUCACUUCGUCGUCACCACCACAUUGAUUAAUCAAUUAUCUUCUUUACUCAUUUCGUCUCCUUUUAUAUCAGAAUUAUGCUUUAUGGUUUGAAUCCGGUGGUUUAUUAUUUUUAUUUUUGUUUGUAAUUGUUUUCAGGCACCACUCAUUCCAGCCAGAAACAUCCGGAUACUCUGUUCACGUAGCUAUGUUCACAAGAAGUUGCUUAGCAGAGGAUGAUACUCUGAUCACGCAGCUAUUCGUAAAAACGGAGAUAGUGAAAUUGAGGAGACAAUCAGAGAGAUGGAAGCAAUGAUGAAAUGAAAUAAUUUGAGCAAAGUGGACGACCGUAAUGCAAGAAGCUAUAUAACUUAAAGGAAACAAAAAAAUGUUUUACAUUUUUUUUAGGAUAAAUGGUCAUCCGUUUGAUGCAGAAAUGUUCUACUUGAGGCAUGUAUGCACAAAGUGACAGAAGAGUCAGAAAAACGUGGAGCAUUUUGGUCUGAAAAGUGGCCAGAGUAGAGAUUGUUCAUCAGUGGUUUGAAGACACAUAUGGAAAUCAGCACAAGAGGAUUUCACAGCAGACAUGAUUGUUGAAAAACUAUUGUUUCAGUCAUACUUCAAGGGUGUAGGAAUUGAUUGGUGGUAUGUGAGAAACGUUAUGGAUUGAGAGCUGUAUAUGGAGGUUUUAUUGCUGCAUUGAAGGAUCUGAGACAGUGAGACUCUGUGUGAUUAAUGUACUUUCCUCAAACUUACGACCUUCAUGAUGAUUCAUCAAUUAUCUGCACUGAAGAAGAGGUGCAGCUUGGUGUCUGUAAUGGUUGAAGUGGACCGAAUUCUUAGACCACAAGAAACAUUUAUAGUAAAUGAUGGCAUGGAAAAGAUAGGAGAAAUUGAGAAGAUGAUGGAAUCACUGAAAUGGAAUGUAAGAAUGACACAUUCCAGAUAUGGAGAAGGAGUGAUCUCUGUUCAGAAGUCAUGGUGGCGUCCUACAGAGGUCGAGACCAUUACAUCGGCCAUAUCAAGUGAAAGAGAAUUGGUUUAAUAUAGUUUUAUGAGAAUGUUUCUUUCAUGAUCACGUUGAUUGCUUACAUUGUAUUAGGCCAAUAUGUGUAUCUUUUUUGCCUUGACGAAAAUUAUAUACAAGACAUUGUCCCUAUAAUAUAAGCUUUUUAUAAGUUUU